rnacentral:rRNA from 1 species
CCCUGAUGUUAGCGGCGGACGGGUGAGUAACACGUGGGUAACCUGCCUGUAAGACUGGGAUAACUCCGGGAAACCGGGGCUAAUACCGGAUGGUUGUUUGAACCGCAUGGUUCAAACAUAAAAGGUGGCUUCGGCUACCACUUACAGAUGGACCCGCGGCGCAUUAGCUAGUUGGUGAGGUAACGGCUCACCAAGGCGACGAUGCGUAGCCGACCUGAGAGGGUGAUCGGCCACACUGGGACUGAGACACGGCCCAGACUCCUACGGGAGGCAGCAGUAGGGAAUCUUCCGCAAUGGACGAAAGUCUGACGGAGCAACGCCGCGUGAGUGAUGAAGGUUUUCGGAUCGUAAAGCUCUGUUGUUAGGGAAGAACAAGUACCGUUCGAAUAGGGCGGUACCUUGACGGUACCUAACCAGAAAGCCACGGCUAACUACGUGCCAGCAG